rnacentral:sRNA from 1 species
GCUAGCGCAUGAAGCGCGGGAACUGGGUUGCUGGGCGGUCGAAGAGAUGGGGGUACCCGUAGCGGCCCGGGCCCCGGAAUCGACGCUACGCAGGCUGUGUCUGGGCCAAGGGGCUGACAUCUGGGCCUACAUCUUGCAGCAUGUGCACAGUCAGAGGUAAGCUGGGCUAGAGCAGGGGAGGGAGCACAGGUGAGGCCCAUAGUAACUCCUCUUUCUGCCUCUGCACUGUAGGACUGUGAAGAAGAUCCGGGGAAACCUACUCUGGUAACUGCUUCUUAAAGCUAUCCCCUCCUAUCUUCCCCACUCCCAUUUAGCCCUGUCCCCACCACAGCAUCACACCUGUUGCCCUUCCCCCUGGAAGCCCCACUCAUCCACUGACUCUGGCCUUGUUUUCCUAGGUAUGGCCACCAGGACAGUCCACAGGUCCGUCGGAAGUUAGAGCUGGAAGCUGCUGUGACCCGCCUGCGGGCAGAAAUCCAGGAGCUCGACCAGAGCCUGGAGCUGAUGGAGCGAGACACUGAGGCUCAGGGUGAGUCACGGGGCCAGAAGAUAGGCACCAGGAUGUGGGGUGGGAAAGGUGCUGAUGGCCACCCCUGUUCCUCCCACAGACAUGGCCAUGGAGCAGGCACUUCAGCACACUCAAGACACCCAGCGUCGAGCUCUCCUCCUCCGGGCCCAAGCUGGGGCCAUGCGAAGACAGCAGCAUAGGCUCCGAGAUCCCAUGCAGCGGCUGCAGAAUCAAUUGAGGCACCUGCAGGACAUGGAGAGGAAAGCCAAAGUAGAUGUGACCUUUGGAUCCCUGACAUCGGCAGCUCUCGGCCUGGAGCCCGUGGUCCUGCGUGAUGUCCGAACAGCCUGCACCCUCCGGGCCCAGUUCCUGCAGAACCUCCUGCUUCCCCAGGCCAAGAGGGGCAGCCUCCCAACCCCUCAUGAUGACCACUUUGGCACUUCCUACCAGCAGUGGCUGAGCUCCGUGGAGACGCUGCUGACAAACCACCCCCCAGGCCACGUCCUGGCUGCCUUGGAGCACCUGGCUGCAGAGCGGGAGGCAGAGAUUCGGUCCCUGUGCAGUGGGGAUGGGCUUGGCGAUACAGAGAUAUCCAGACCCCAGGCCCCGGACCAGUCAGACUCCAGCCAGACCCUGCCGUCCAUGGUUCAUCUCAUCCAGGAGGGCUGGCGGACUGUGGGUGUGCUGGUCUCCCAGCGGAGCGCCCUCCUGAAGGAGCGGCAAGUCUUGACCCAGCGCCUCCAGGGCCUGGUGGAGGAGGUGGAGAGAUGCGUCCUGGGAUCCAGUGAGAGGCAGGUGCUGAUACUGGGGCUUCGGCGCUGUGGCCUGUGGACGGAGCUCAAGGCCCUGCACACUCAGAGCCAGGAGCUGGAGGAUGCAGCCGGGCAUCGGCAGCUCCUGCUGAGGGAGCUACAGGCCAAACAGCAGCGGAUCCUGCACUGGCGCCAGCUGGUGGAGGAGACCCAGGAACAGGUCCGCCUGCUCAUCAAGGGAAACUCGGCCAGCAAGACCCGCCUGUGCCGGAGUCCAGGGGAGGUGCUAGCUCUGGUCCAGCGAAAGGUGGUCCCUACAUCUGAGGCAGUGGCACCGCAGAGCCGGGAGCUGCUGCGCUGUCUGGAGGAGGAAGUCCGGCAUUUGCCCCACAUUCUGUUGAGCACACUGCUGCGGCACAGCCCGGGAGAGUUGAAGCCUCUGCCCACGGUCCUCCCAUCCAUCCACCAGCUGCACCCCGCGUCCCCAAGGGGCUCCAGCUUCAUAGCGCUGAGCCACAAGCUGGGGCUGCCCCCAGGGAAGGUGAGUGCCUGUCUCCUGUGACUUGUCUCCCCAGCCCCACCCCAGGUAACCGUUGUUCCCUCCUCAUCUAGGCCUCGGAGCUGCUCCUGCCAGCGGCUGCCUCUCUUCGCCAGGACCUUCUGUUCCUGCAGGACCAGCAGAGCCUCUGGUGUUGGGAUCUACUCCACAUGAAGACCAGCCUGCCGCCAGGCCCUCCCACCCAGGAGCUGCUGCAGAUCCAGGCAUCCCAGGAAAAACAACAGAAAGAGAACCUGGGGCAGGCUCUGAAGAGGCUGGAGAAGCUGCUGAAACAGGCGCUGGAGCGAAUCCCUGAGCUGCAGGGGAUCGUGGGGGACUGGUGGGAGCAGCCAGGCCAGGCCGCCCUCUCUGAGGAGCUCUGCCAGGGCCUGUCCCUGCCCCAGUGGCGGCUGCGCUGGGUUCAGGCCCAGGGGGCCCUGCAGAAGUUGUGCAGCUGAAGAGAGGGUUCAAACGGAAGCCGAGAACUUGACACUGUUCACCUCAACACCUCACCUCCCCCAGGACAUUUGGAAGAAAGCAGCGCCAGGAUUCCUCGGCAGUCGUCCCCACCCGCACCUGCAGUCCCCUCAUGUGCUGUUCUGCUGCCCCGCUCAGCUCCUGGCCCCUGUCCUUUCAUCCCGCUAAAGCACCCCCUGAAACCCCUUCAUCACUUUCAUUCUCAGCAAAAAGUAAUUGAGCACCUCCUCUAGGCACUGGGGAGUCCACACUGAACAAAAGAGACAGAAAACCCUGUCUUCCAGAAGUUGAGUUCUAGGGCAGGGAGAUAGAAUUUACAAGAUAAGGAAAAUAUAUAUGUAGUAUGCUGCAAGUUAACUGCUGUGUGGGAAAUCCAGCAGGGGGUGGGAUGUGUGAUUUGAAUUGAGGGCCACACUGCCCAGGUCGCACUCCGUCAAGGGGUGAGCAGGAGCAACGGGGGUGGCUGAGGAAGGGCUUGCAGCUCGAGGCAACAGCACAUGCAAAGGUCCUGAGCCAGGAUGUGCUGGAAUAAGGGCCAUUGAGGGGGACAGUAUAGGUUGGGGGUAAGGAAUGUAUUAAAAGAUGAGAUUGCCUUCUAGUUUGUAUAGUUUCUUUUUUUACAUGUAAAUCAGCCAUUUGGAAUUUAUCCUAGCACAUGGAUCCAAUUUUGUCUUGUUUUACAUAUAUCCUAGUAGCACUUACUGAAAUUCCCAGUCAGAGUGGCAGUUGCCUCUGAGGGAAGGUGGGUGGCAGGGAUCAACUGAGGAGGAGACACAGAAACGUCCUAGCUGAUGGGAAUGUACUGUGUCGAGAGCAGCGGCGGUGACGCAGGUGUAGAGAUUUGUCAGAGCUCAUCUAGUUGUAGUCUUAAGGCCUGUACAUUUCACUGCGUGGGUUACUCAAUUUAUAAAGAAAAGCCUUACACUUUUGAGAUGCCGCCUUUUUAUGCACUAAAUUUCCAUGUUUAUAUCUGGCCUCUCUCCAGACCUGCUUUGUAUUUAACUCUCCAUGUGUCAUUCCCACAGUAGCUUAAUAGAAAGGCUUGUGACAAUUGUCAUAUCUGUUCUUUUCUUUUGGUUUUUUUUUUUUGAGAUGGAGUCUCAUUCUGUUGCCCAAGUUGGAGUGCAGUGGCAUGAUCUCAGCUCACUGCAACCUCCGCCUCCCAGGUUCAAGCCAUUCUUAUGCCUCAGCCUCCCCAGUACCUAGGAUUACAGGUACGCACCACCACGCCCAGCUCAUUUUUGUACUUUUAGUAGGGACAGGGUUUCAUCAUGUUGGCCAGACUGGUCUCGAACUCCUGACCUCAAGUGAUCUGCCUGCCUCGGCCUCCCAAAGUGCUGGGAUUACAGGCAUGAACCACCACACCCGACCACAUUGCCAUAUCUGAAAUGGCUGGAUUCUCUUAGAUGCUUUUUCUUUUUCUUUCUUUUCUCUUCUCUUCUCUUUUCUUUUCUUUCUUUUUUUUUGAGACAGAAUCUGGCUGUUUCCCAGGCUGAAGUGCAGUAGCACAAACUCAGCUCACUGCAACCUCUGCCUCCUGGAUUCAAGCAAUUCUCAUGUCUCAGCCUCCUGAAUAGCUGGGAUUACAGGCACCCACCACCAUGUCUGGCUAAUAUUUGUAUUUUUUGUAGAGUCGGAGCUUUACCAUGUUGGCCAGGCUGCUCUCCAACUCCUGGCCUCAAGUGAUUCUAUCGCCUCUGCCUCCCAAAUCUUCACCUGCUGGGAUUACAGUUUCCCCUGUCUCAGUAAAUUUUUUUUCCCAAACUAAGUGAACAUUAGAUUUAAUUUGCUUGGCCCCAGAAGAAAAACAUGCACAGAUGGUAGUUUUACUGGUGUUGCAGUAAGUUUUCAAAUUUGGAAGUUUGGCAGCUUUAUGAUCUUGAACCUUGCUGUCCAUCUCUCACACAACUCCUCUCUUGGCCUCCAGAGUCCCUUUACUCUCCCAGCUUUCCUCCUGCCCCUGGCUGCUGUUUCCCAGCCUUUCCACAUUGGCUUUCCCAUGCAGUCCUUAGUGUGUCUGCUCCUCCUCUCCUCAUCACAGUUCCCAGCACCCACCUUCAACUGAACUCAACAAAAUCUUCAACUUCAUACAGUAGUCACAUUGUUAGUAAUAACAUUGGCAUUUUUGAUAAAAUAGACCAUUUAAAUUUUUGAGAUUCUACCUUAUAUUUUUUGAAUUAUAUACUAAAGCAAGUAAGUAGUGAUGUAACGUCAUUGGGGACCAAGAUUUUUAGUGUAAAUGAAAAAAGAUAACAAAUAUAAACUCAAGUAAACACCCUGUAGUCUUUCAUAUGAAUUGGAAAUAUCAGAAUAAAGUCAUGAUUUUUCUCUUUCU